rnacentral:rRNA from 1 species
AUGCAGUCGAGCGACGCAUACCGGAGGGGUAACCCACUGGUAUGACGGAGCGGCGAACGGGUGAGUAACACGUGAGUAACCUGCCCCACAGACCGGGACAGCCCAGGGAAACCUGGAUUAAUACCGGAUACCCUCGGGGGAUCGCAUGAUCUUUCGAGGAAAUGCCUUUGUGCUGUGGGAUGGACUCGCGACUUAUCAGCUAGUUGGUGGGGUAACGGCCUACCAAGGCGUCGACGAGUAGCUGGUCUGAGAGGACGAUCAGCCACACUGGGACUGAGACACGGCCCAGACUCCUACGGGAGGCAGCAGCAGGGAAUCUUGCGCAAUGGGCGAAAGCCUGACGCAGCAACGCCGCGUGGGGGAUGAAGGCCUUCGGGUUGUAAACCCCUUUCAGGAGGGAAGAAAUUGACGGUACCUCCAAAAGAAGCACCGGCCAACUACGUGCCAGCAGCCGCGGUAAUACGUAGGGUGCGAGCGUUAUCCGGAAUCAUUGGGCGUAAAGAGCUCGUAGGCGGUUCAGCAAGUCGGCUGUGAAAUUUCGAGGCUCAACCUCGAAACUGCAGUCGAAACUGCUGUGACUCGAGUCCGGUAGAGGAGAAUGGAAUUCCCGGUGUAGC